rnacentral:rRNA from 1 species
GACGUAGGGUGCGAGCGUUGUCCGGAUUUAUUGGGCGUAAAGAGCUCGUAGGCGGCUCGUCGCGUCAGCUGUGAAAACCCGCGGCUUAACCGUGGGCUUGCAGCUGAUACGGGCGGGCUAGAGUUCGGUAGGGGAGACUGGAAUUCCUGGUGUAGCGGUGAAAUGCGCAGAUAUCAGGAGGAACACCGAUGGCGAAGGCAGGUCUCUGGGCCAUAACUGACGCUGAGAAGCGAAAGCAUGGGGAGCGAACAGG